AGUGAACGCUGGCGGUAGGCCUAACACACGCAAGUCGAACGGCAGCACAGGAGAGCUUGCUCUCUGGGUGGCGAGUGGCGGACGGGUGAGGAAUACAUCGGAAUCUACCUUUUCGUGGGGGAUAACGUAGGGAAACUUACGCUAAUACCGCAUACGACCUACGGGUGAAAGUGGGGGACCGCAAGGCCUCACGCGAUUAGAUGAGCCGAUGUCCGAUUAGCUAGUUGGCGGGGUAAUGGCCCACCAAGGCGACGAUCGGUAGCUGGUCUGAGAGGAUGAUCAGCCACACUGGAACUGAGACACGGUCCAGACUCCUACGGGAGGCAGCAGUGGGGAAUAUUGGACAAUGGGCGCAAGCCUGAUCCAGCCAUACCGCGUGGGUGAAGAAGGCCUUCGGGUUGUAAAGCCCUUUUGUUGGGAAAGAAAUCCUGUCGAUUAAUACGCGGUGGGGAUGACGGUACCCAAAGAAUAAGCACCGGCUAACUUCGUG
rnacentral:rRNA from 1 species